GGAACCCGCACACAGGCUGGCCGGCCUCGGAAGUUUGCAGAGACACGCAGAGAGGAAGAAAGUCCCUGUCACCCCAUCAUCCACGAAUGGCACUGUUUGUUUUGCUGCUGGCCCGCCCUGUUCAAACCCGGCCCCGUGGCGCUGCCGGGGAAGUGUGAUCACGCAGGUAGGGCGCCGUGAGGAGCUCGGACAGCGCAGCCGCUGAGCGCAGCAAGUAAACGGCUCCGGCGAUCUGUCCCCUCAGACGUGGCCUCUGCCUGUUUGGUCGUCGAGUUUGGAAAUUUCCCGACUCUGCCCGUGUGUCCUGACCUGUGGGCUCUUCGUGACUCACGACGAAUGACCACACAGCCGCUCAAGCCCACAGGCAGGCAAACUGGAGUGUGACUCGGACCAGCGGGACGUCCGGGCUCGGAGAACGGGAGGCCGGGAGAACAGGGAAGGCGGCGUCCGGUUCUGCCGCGAGCAGGGCGGGCCUGGCCAGAGAGACAACGGGCAGGGAGCUGGGCUCGAACUCCUGAUCUGAGGGCUGCGUGGCCGAGGGCAGGCCCCCUGACCGUCCUGGGCCGGGUUCCUCGUCCGUGAAAUGGGAGGAAUGCUGGCCGAGGGAACUGUUGUACGAGUUGUAAGUGAUGUGUGUGGUCCGGCCUCAUACGUCAGUAAGCUGCACCCUUCAUUGAAAGCAUUUGCCAGCUUCCCACCUCUCUCUCUGGACUCGUCUACCCUUCCUGGGGGCCUCUCUGCCCCGCCCCCACUGUCUGGGCUCCCUCCGUGUCAGCCAGGGCUCUCGGCUGCAGACCGAGGGGUCCCCUGGGGCUCGUGCAUGCCAUGGGCAGGUGAGGAAGGGGUGCAGAGCUCACCGACACAGGCUCCCCCAGGGCGGCCUGCUGGGGGCUGGAACGGCGCUAGCUCCUGGUGGCCCUGCCACUGCACUGGGAGCAGGAAGCUGCUGUGUCUGGGGGGUGGGGGGGUUUGCAGCCUCGGCCCCUGUCUCUGGAAUGAAGCUGCCCCCCGCCUCGUCCACACCGACGAGACGACGCCCAGUCCCUGCCUCUGCCUCUCAGACGCCCGCCCCGUCUCCCAGUCUGCCACCGCAGGAGCCUGGGGUUUGCUGAAAGGAAAUCACACACCUGACCCGGCAGGUCUUCCGUUUCUGCGCAGGAAAGGGGAUCCCCACUAUCUGGACACCCGAUCACAAUCAGAAACCGGAGAGAAGGGAGAAAAGAGGUUUGGGAGGAAGUUCAGGAACGCCGUCCCCAGGUGUGGCACCGGGGCCCACGGAGCGUUGAGGCUGAAGGGGUCUGACAAACGGCAGAAGCAGGGAGGUCACCGUGACCUUCCCCGCCUCCCCCGAAACAGGCCACAAAACCGUAAGGGAGAGGCGAGGAAAGGGGCGUCCUCGCCUCCGAAGACAAGGGGUCCCAAGGGGGUCAGCUCUGGCCUCCAGCGGACGGGUAUCUCGGGCAGUACGAUGCAUGAGCUGGCCCUGGCCCUGCUCCCAGCGCAAUAAAGGAAGGUGCCGUGAGUAAGGUGGCCCGAGGGCCCAGGGCUGCCGGGAGAAGUCCCUGCCUCCCUGAGGGCUGGCUGCCUUUCCUCCGGCGUGGGAUCUGAACAUGUCCGUCCAGGCUCUCGUUUUCCUGACGGUCCCAGCCUGGGCAACCAGGCGAGGGGCCAGCAGGUGUGCGCGCAGGCCGGUGCGGGGGGCACCGGGGACCACACGGAUCACAGGAGCCUGAACUGGCUGCUCCGGCCUCCGAGACCAGCCAGGCUGCAGCCCCUUCCUUCGCCCAGGACGGUGGGCGACGGUGGGCGCUCUUCUGCCGCCACUCCGCAUCGUGACUCCGUGGAUUACCCACUGUAACGAUAUUUUAUACGAACACAGAGCAAAGAAAUGCUGCUCCCCGCCCGGCCGGAGCCCUGGCGUCCCUGACAACACCCCUGCCUGCCCCCUCACAGGGACGCCCACCCCACCGGGAGCUGCUCCUCCAGAGGCUGCUGCGGCCUGACACUCGGCCGUCGCCUCCCGGACGAAGCAGGAAUGCCGUGCAGAGGCGACGCCAGCCGCGGCAGCUAAGUAUAGACGGCAGCUUCCCGGCGCACCGCCCGCCGGCGUGCCUGCGCACACAUCAGGACAAUCACAGGAAGGAGGCGUAAUGACGACCUUGACCCACGAAAGCACGGUCUCCUCCCCGGUGAGACGCCGACACUCCCAGACCGGCAGCUGGAAAGGCGGCUCCGCCCCUUUGUUCCCUCGGACUCGGUGGCGCCCCGGCCGUGUUCCAUAACAGGGGUGUCCACGGUGACUCGGAACAUGUGGGGCUCAAAGGGCAGUCCCACGCGGGUGAGGGCGGACGGGCCUCACCGGUGACUCACAUUCCUUUCCCGCGCCGUCCCUUGUAAUUAGGCUGACAGACAGGCCGGCCGGCCCGGCGCAGUUUCGGUGUAUGCCUGGUGAGUCUAGGUGAUCAUUAACAACAACACCCACUUUCACUCCCAGA